CAGCGUCGCGUCAGCGGCCUGACUCCACCUCCCAGAUUUUAUAACAACUGACACAUUGUAGCCUACAGGACAUCAUAACUCACUGCAAGCGAAAAGGAGAAAAGCCCCACAAAAGGGACGGGAGAAAGGAGCAGGUUAGCACAGCCUGGGGAGGGAGAGAGGCUGCCGGCUCGGUCAGCAAAAGCCGCGGCUGGCGGGCGCUCGCUGUCUCCUCUGGAAGCUCGCCUUCUUUAUUCCCAGGAGACCGGCAGGAUGGGGACCCGAGCUCACGGGGGAUUGCACCAAAUUGGCCCUAAUCACACCUCCCUUUGUGCGUGGAGGGAUGGAGCCUUAGGCCGAGAGGCCAGAAGACCUGAGUUCGUAAACUCAGCUGGGUGAGGUUGGGGGAAGAAAAUGAGUCCCAGAGAAAAGAAGCAAUAUUUGUUCCUGGUCACCCUUCUAGUAAACAUCAAAGAGCCAAGAGCUAACCCAUAUAAGAAUAUUGAUAAAAGAAAAUAGGAAGAAGAUAAAAAACAAAUAGCAAUACCAAUCAACACAUCUGAAAAAUCUGAAAAUAAAUGUUUUGUUGACACCUGUGGAUCUCCCAUCUCUGCAAAGAAGUAGAAGGAGAUAUCUUCUCACACCUCUUCUUUGAAGCUAUGUUUUCAGAAAUUAUUUUUUUUCAUUAUAAAUGUGAUGUGUUAUCUAAUGUUUUGUAUUUUUAUGAGGUAAGCAUGAGAGAUUUAUUAUACACACUUACUUGGAAGUCAGGCAAUGUUUAACGCCUAGUUAGGAUGGCUCUAGUUUCAAUUGAUGGAAAGGAGGAAGGAAAAAUUUAAAAUGACUGAAAAGGAUGGACAU